UCGACGUUAAGCUCAGUCGGAAUGAGCUACCUCGCGGAAGAGGUGGUCGUUGGUUCGAGUCCAACACGUCGUC
rnacentral:tRNA from 1 species